rnacentral:rRNA from 1 species
AUGGACAUGCAUAUCCAUUUGAUGAAUACCUCUCCCUAUGCACUUGCACGCAGUGGUUACAUCCGAUGGUUCUUAGCAUCAACUUCGAAAUACUCUACCUUUGAUCUUAGUUGCCUCGGGAAACCAACAUGUGACUCGAUGGUUAGGAAGACAGUGAUAUCCCCAUCCCACCAGCGUUCAACUCCUAAAUUUGACAUUGGUGCUUGCAUUUUCUUGAAUUUAUUUCAGGCCUUCGGCGAUGUGCGUUCAGCGGGAGGAGAUGUUCCCAUUGACUAUGAAUGCGUGUAUGACUACUUCGUGAAUAUCAAGAUAAUAUGUUAG